UCGGAUUGUAGGCUGCAACUCGCCUACAUGAAGUCGGAAUUGCUAGUAAUCGCGGAUCAGCAUGCCGCGGUGAACACGUUCCCGGGCCUUGUACACACCGCCCGUCACACCAUGGGAGUUUGUAACGCCCAAAGUCGGUGGCCUAACCUUUAUGGAGGGAGCCGCCUAAGGCGGGACAGAUGACUGGGGUGAAGUCGUAACAAGGUAUC
rnacentral:rRNA from 1 species